rnacentral:lncRNA from 1 species
CCAGGUGCAGAGCAGAUAACUUAUUAGUCUAGAGCCUGAGAAUCAACAGGACACUCAGCCUAGCACUUUAGACUUCCCAGCGUGGAAUGGGUAAAAGAAAGAAAAACCGGCCGAACACCAUGACCCAGUCCAGUGCCUAGAAAAUGAACUUGCUGUCCUGGAGAGGAGCUGCAGAGGGGACUCCUUGAGCUGGACGGUGGGAAAGAGGCUGGGAAUUGAGAGCCUGAGAGUGGGAAGAAGGAGCCGGAUAUGGUCCUCACCACUUCCCUACCUUGUCUUGUCAGAGGUACAUUGGUCCGGUGAGGCUUCCAGAAGAUCAGUCAGCUGGAGAUCUCUGAUGGCAGCUGCCUACAACCCUGCCUCCAGGCACAGGGGAAAGGGAGCUGGUGUUCUUCUUAUUCUGUCUACUCUCAGAAGAGGCAAAGGGCACUAGAGUGUGCCAUUUCAUCCAUACCCUGCAAGGGCAGGACACAGGUCUUGGAGAGCUCCACAUUUGUGUUUCAGUGAAGGCAACUAGAGCCGGGGCAGGGAGAGAAUUUUGCUGCUUUGGGAGCUACUAGUUACAGACUGUAAUUUGUUUUGUUUCUUUCAAAUGGCUGCUUCUAAUUAUUUCUGGAAAUCUAAUUUAUACAAUAUAAGCAGCAUGAUUUUCAUUAUUAAAGUUAUUGAAAUUUUUUAAAAGUUAGAUUUAUUUUAUUACUUACUUUAUGUGCGUGAGUGUUUUGCCUACAUGUACUUGUGUGCAUACCACAUGUGUGUAAGUAUCCACAGAUGUCAUAAGAGAACCUUGGAUCCUCCAGGUCUGGACUUAUAGAUGGUUGUGAGCCUCCAGUAGAUAUGGGGAGUCAAACCCAGGUCCUCUGGAAGAUCAGUCAGAACUCUUAACCACUAAGCCAACUCUUCAGCCCCUAAUUUGUUUUUUAUACAUAUAUAUGUGUGUGUGUGUCCAUUUUUAUAUGUAUGUCUGGGUACCAUGUGAGUGCAGGAGCCCCUGUAGAUUAGAAGAGGAUGUUGGAUCCCCUGGACUGGAGUUACAGGCAGUUGUGAGCCUCAGUGAGAGUGCUGGGAAUUGAACCUGUGUCCUCUGUAAGAGCAGUAAGCACUCUUAGCCACUGAUCUGUCUUUCCAGCCUGAGAAUAUAAAAAUUUUAAGAUGUAUUUACAUAUUAUUUUAAUUUUUAAAAUUUCGUUCUUCAAGACAGGGUUUCUCUGUGCAGCCCAGGUGUUCCUGGAACUUGCUCUGUAGACCAGGCUGGCCUUAAACUCAGAGAUCUGCCUGCCUCUGCCUCAUGAGUACUACUAGAAUCAAAGGCAUUCACCACCACCACCAGACAUUAUUAUUUUAAUUUAAAAAUUAUUUCAAUACGUAUGUAGAUGAGUAUUUUGUCUGUAUGUACGCAUAUCACAAGUGUGCCUGGUGUUCCUGGAGGUCAGAAGUGGGGAUGGAUCCCCUGGAACUGGAGUGACAGAUGGUUGUGAGUUCCCUGUGGGUGCUGAGAAUUAAACCCAGGUCCUAUGGAAGAACAACCAGUGUUUUUAGUGGCUGAGCCAUCUCUCCAAUCCUCAGCUUCCUGAGUGCUGGAAACCAAACUUGGGGUCUCUAAAUGAGUAGUAUUCCCUUUUAACCACUGUGGCAUCUCCCUAGCACCCCAAUAUUUUGUUUGUAUAUGACAUAUAAUUGAAAAGUAGGGGAGAUCAGAAAUAAUCUUUGUUUUUGUUUGUUUGUUUGUUUGUUUUUUGUUUUUCGAGAUAGGGUUUCUCUUAGCUUUGUGUCCUGGAACUCGCUCUGUAGACCAGACUGGCCUCGAACUCACAGAGAUCUGCCUGCCUCUGCCUCCCAAGUGCUGGGAUUAAAGGUGUGCACCACCAACGACCGGCCAGAAAUAAUCUUUUUUUUAUUGUUGUUGUUUGGUUGUUUGAGACGGGGGCUUCUCUUUGUAGCCUUGGCUGUCCUGGAACUCACUCUGUAGACCAGGCUGACCUCGAACUCCAGAGAUAAUCUUACAGUGAGAACUAACAUAACUUCUGGAAACCAUCUUUCUUUCUAAAUUUUUUUAAACAUUUAUCUAUUUACCUAUUUAUUUAUUUAUUUAUGUAAUAUGCACUGAUGUUUUGCUUGUAUAUACUCUGUGUGAAGGUGCCAGAUCCCCUGGAAUUGGAAUUACAGACACUUGUGGGCUGCCAUGUGGGUGCUGGGAAUUGAACCCAGGUCCUCUGGAAGAGCAGCCAGUGCUCUUAACUGCUGAGCCAUCUCUCCAGCCUCAAAACCAUCUUUCUUAUUUUUGGUUUUUAGAGGCUUUUUUGGUUUCUUGAGACAGUGUUUCAUGUAGUCCAUGCUAGCCUUAGGCUCAUUCUAUAUCCAAAUCGGUCCUUGAACUCCCAGUCUUUGUGCCUCUGCCUCCUAAAUGUUGAUUUACAGGCAUGUGCCACCAGAAGAGCAGUGGUGACACAGACCUUUAAUCCCAGCAGAAUCAGAGGCAGGAUGAUAUCUCUGUGAGUUCAAGUCCAGACUCCAGACUGAUUUCCAGGGCUACACAGAGAAACCCUGUGUCAAAAAAUAAAAAAAAAAAAAAAAAAAAAAAAGACUACUAUGCCUGCUCAACCAUCUUUUAAGAAUAUAUUUGAUUUAUUGUUUUAUAAAUUAUGUGUAGCUAUAUGUAUGUGCUGGUGUUACAUACAUGUGAUGCAGGUGCCUACAUCAGACCCCGGGAGCUGGAGGACUUCUGGCGUCCGGUCUGUAUCAGUCCCACGCUACAGAGGCCAUCUAUUUCCCACUGAUGUCUUUGGGGCUGCAAUCAAGGGGAACCAGCCGAACAGCCCCGGGUCCAUCCCUGAGUGGGGGAGUGUGGAUUGGGAAACUCCUAGCUACCCAGCAGCGUUAAGAACGAGACAGAGACAUCUUGUCAUCUCAGAAGGGCUCUCAGUCCACGCUGGAGUAUGUUUUAUUCACGCAUCCUCUUAAAUAGCUUUCCAACAGUGGGAAACAUCAGAAGACAUCUAUUAUGGUGUAUAAAGCUGAUAUCAAAUACUUCCUUUAAUCCUAGAGACACCCCUAAAACUGCAUGUCCUCACUGGUCCUUCACCAGUUCCUAGGCAUGUUCCACCAGACCCAGGGGCCUAGGCCUAUUGUUACACAAACUAGGAGACAUUCUCCACUGUGGCCAGGCCAUCCCAAGGUAACCAGCCGAUAUCUGAAAGACAAUGGGAGAUUCCAGCUCCUGGAAUUGAGCUGAGGUUUGCACCAAAAAUAUCAUAGUUGAUGUUCCAGGCCCUGACGGAGGCCCUGACACCUGACGAUUGUGCUCGACAACUCUGGAAGAGAAGCAAGUGCUCUUAACUGCUGAGGCAUCUCUCUAGGCCCCCAUCUUUUCUUCUAUAUACAACUGGCAAAUUUCUAAUUAUAAGUUAUAGGCAAUUUUGUAAAACUCCCAUUUAGUAUGAUCUCAAACACUGGAGGUUUUUCCGAAUAAAAUGUCAGUGUUUAACAGCAUUUUUCUCCCUCUCACUGUUUCCCCCAAAAUAUUAAAGUCACUAUGAGAGAUAACAAUUAGAAUUAAUAUUAAACUGAUUAUUAAAGUUAUUAUGUAUUUGGUUAUACUUAAUCAGUAUUUAUUAUGAAGAAACUUUUGUUCUUCUUUUCCAGGUCUAGGCUCUGAGGGUGCAGCAGUGAAUAUCCCAGAUUCCAUCUUCAAAGUCUUGCUGAAACUUAGAUUCUUGGAGGACAGAUUGUAGAUAAGCUGGACGUGUACUGGAUUAGUUCUAGAGCAGGAGGGUAUUAGUAUCAGUGGAAAAGUAACACAGGCAGGUGCAUAUCUUUAAUCCUAGUGCUUGGAAAGUAGAAACGGGAUGAUCUCUGUGAGUUCAAGGUCAGCCUGGUCAACAUAGUGACUUACAGGCCAGCCAGAGCUUCAUCUCAGAAAAUAAAUAAAUAAAUAAAUAAAUAAAGGUAAUACAGGAGAGGAGGGGAAACGAGCUGGGAUCAGGGAAGCCCUUGCAUUUACAUCGGGAGUGUGACGCUUGCUUUUUGUCAGGAAAUUUUAUCGCAGUUGUAGAACUAAAACUAGGAUACCUGGGAAGGCAGAGCCAAUGACUUUGGAAGGGUGGGUUACUCCAGGAGUGUUGAGCUGAGGAUGGGAUGGGGAGAUCUUGGAAAGAGCAGGUUAUAGAUACACCGUCCAGCAUUUGUCCUGUGAGUCUCCAGAUAGACCAGCAGUCAGUCCAUCAAGCAGAUGGACGUGGGAAUGAAGAGCUCCAAGGGCAAGAAUGAGCCCUGGCCAGCACAUGGGCAGGAUUUCAGGCCAACAAAGUAUUUUACACCAAGAAUUGAAUAAAGAUUGUGGUCUAGAACAAGUCAGGGGUCAGAGGUGACAGAAUAAUGUAUAUUCACCAGAUCCUCCUAACUAUGGUAAAUCAAUAUUCUUUGAAAAAUUUUUUAUUACUUUAUUGGUGUUUUGACUGUAUGUAUGUCUGUGUAAAGGUGUUGGAUCCUGGAGUUAACAGACAGUUGUGGGCUGCUAUGUGGGUGCUGGGAAUUAAACCUGAGUUCUCUGAAAGAGCAGCCAGUGCUUCUUAACUGCUGAGCCAUCUCUGCGGUCCCCAAAAAUCAAAUUCAUAUUGUCAUCACUUCACAAGUGACAAAACUGAGCUGUGAAAGAGGUUUUAAACAAACCUGUCAAUGGGGUUUGAACUGAUAUUGCCUCAAGUAUCAUGAGUUCAGCCCCCAAGUUACAGAGGUGUGCCCUGUCCAGUGGGCCCUUUUUCCAGGUAGAGAAACCCUGUCUUUUUGUUUGUUUGUUUGUUUUUCAAGACAGGGUUUCUUUGUGUAUCUUUGGAGCCUAUCCUG